rnacentral:rRNA from 1 species
CCUGCGGAGGGAUCAUUACCGAGUUUACAACUCCCAAACCCAAUGUGAACGUUACCAAACUGUUGCCUCGGCGGGAUCUCUGCCCCGGGUGCGUCGCAGCCCCGGACCAAGGCGCCCGCCGGAGGACCAACCAAAACUCUUUUUGUAUACCCCCUCGCGGGUUUUUUAUAAUCUGAGCCUUCUCGGCGCCUCUCGUAGGCGUUUCGAAAAUGAAUCAAAACUUUCAACAACGGAUCUCUUGGUUCUGGCAUCGAUGAAGAACGCAGCGAAAUGCGAUAAGUAAUGUGAAUUGCAGAAUUCAGUGAAUCAUCGAAUCUUUGAACGCACAUUGCGCCCGCCAGUAUUCUGGCGGGCAUGCCUGUCCGAGCGUCAUUUCAACCCUCGAACCCCUCCGGGGGGUCGGCGUUGGGGAUCGGCCCUGCCUCUUGGCGGUGGCCGUCUCCGAAAUACAGUGGCGGUCUCGCCGCAGCCUCUCCUGCGCAGUAGUUUGCACACUCGCAUCGGGAGCGCGGCGCGUCCACAGCCGUUAAACACCCAACUUCUGAAAUGUUGACCUCGGAUCAGGUAGGAAUACCCGCUGAACUUAAGCAUAUCAAUA